rnacentral:rRNA from 1 species
GAUGAACGCUGGCGGCGUGCUUAACACAUGCAAGUCGAGCGAGUGAGUUCUUCGGAACAAUCUAGCGGCGGACGGGUGAGUAACACGUGGGCAACCUGCCUCAUAGAGGGGAAUAGCCUUCCGAAAGGAAGAUUAAUACCGCAUAACAUCGUUGAAGGGCAUCCUUCGAUGAUCAAAGGAGCAAUCCGCUAUGAGAUGGGCCCGCGGCGCAUUAGCUAGUUGGUGAGGUAACGGCUCACCAAGGCGACGAGGCGUAGCCGACCUGAGAGGGUGAUCGGCCACAUUGGGACUGAGACACGGCCCAGACUCCUACGGGAGGCAGCAGUGGGGAAUAUUGCACAAUGGGGGAAACCCUGAUGCAGCAACGCCGCGUGAGUGAUGACGGCCUUCGGGUUGUAAAGCUCUGUCUUUGGGGACGAUAAUGACGGUACCCAAGGAGGAAGUCACGGCCAACUACGUGCCAGCCGCCGCGGUAA